rnacentral:snoRNA from 1 species
AGCAAAGUAAUGCUCAAAAUUCAGUAUCUGGCAUCAUUGGUUUUGCUUUGUGCAUGUUAGACCUGGUAUUUCUACUGAUACAGUA